rnacentral:misc_RNA from 1 species
CCUUCUUGCAAGAGGAGAGUUGGGCAGAGUUGGCCCGGCCAGGGCCCCGCGGAAAAGAAAGGGGGCCCCGAGCGAAUUGGACCAGGACGCUUGGGUUUUCCGAGCCAUAUGA